rnacentral:rRNA from 1 species
GACAGAGGGUGCAAACGUUGUUCGGAUUUACUGGGCGUAAAGCGCGUGUAGGCGGCUUGGCAAGUCGGAUGUGAAAGCCCACGGCUCAACCGUGGAAGCGCAUCCGAAACGGCCUCGCUCGAGUCUCGGAGAGGAAGGUGGAAUGCUUGGUGUAGAGGUGAAAUUCGUAGAUAUCAAGCAGAACACCUGCGGCGAAGGCGGCUCACUGGUCCGGUACUGACGCUGAGGUGCGAAAGCGUGGGGAGCAAACAGG